GCCUGAGUGGCUCAGUAGGUUAAGCAUCUGACUUUGGCUCAGGUCACGAUCUCACAAUUCGUGGGUUGGAGCCCUGCGUCAGGCU
rnacentral:tRNA from 1 species